CAGUCGCCGCGGGAAUACGAAGGGGGCUAGCGUUGCUCGGAAUGACUGGGCGUAAAGGGCGCGUAGGCGGUUUUGACAGUCAGAUGUGAAAUUCCUGGGCUUAACCUGGGGGCUGCAUUUGAGACGUCAAGACUAGAGUGUGAGAGAGGGUUGUGGAAUUCCCAGUGUAGAGGUGAAAUUCGUAGAUAUUGGGAAGAACACCGGUGGCGAAGGCGGCAACCUGGCUCAUUACUGACGCUGAGGCGCGAAAGCGUGGGGAGCAAACAGGAUUAGAUACCCCCGUAGUCCCUGUCUCUUAUAC
rnacentral:rRNA from 1 species